AGAGUAGAGAGAUUAAGUUUUCCCCAUGUUUUGCGCUUCGAAACAAUGGUUAUGAUUAUUUUUUCUUUAGAUACCUUUCUGAAUUUAAGUUACAGUUAUCUGGUUUCUUUGCAGUUGAGGGCGUUUACCUGCUGGAUGACCUGUUAGAUAGGCAUUUAGGAGUUUUCUGCUCUAGGUUCGUAUUUAGCCAAUAGCACAGAUCUAUUCGCUGUCCCGAGUCCCCAGAGAGUGGGGCAGAGUAAGAACCUAUGACGAAAACAAAAGCCAAAGGCCUCCAAGAUCUGGUUUCAAGCAGAAUCUUAAGAAAUAGAUCACCAUCUCCAGGACUGACAGACUAUACUUGGAAACAUAAAACAGUAUAAAGAGCUAAAGAUCCACGUACGACCUGAAGGAUGGCCUUUUACAUGGGUUCUGGAACAGCAGCUUACACCGAAAGACCAGGUAUGAUCGCCUCUCUCUCUCUCUUCUCUUAUUUAAGAAAGGCUUUGAUCAGCUCUUCCCUCAGUGCUGAAGAGGGCACAUGGAAGGGGACUGUCUCCCCCUAGGGGCUCAGGUGUGUGACUGCAGGUGAAAGACCCCAGACCCCUAAGGGCCUCAGGAUCCCGAGGAGCCCUCGAGACUCAGAAACCAGACCAAGAGCUGCAAAAGUAAGAGGGUUUAUUGAACGAAUGUGCAUUCGAGUGUCAGCAAUAUUGGGAAAUCUGCACACCCCAGCAUGGGGUGUAAGCUCCUUAUAUAGGAAAAAACUGCAGAUCAGCAUAUAGGGAAGGGGCACAAAGUUAUUGAUUAU